rnacentral:rRNA from 1 species
CAGUCGCCACGGUAAUACGGAGGGGGCUAGCGUUGUUCGGAAUUACUGGGCGUAAAGCGCACGUAGGCGGUUUUGUAAGUCAGAGGUGAAAGCCCGGAGCUCAACUCCGGAACUGCCUUUGAGACUGCAUCACUUGAACGUCGGAGAGGUGAGUGGAAUUCCGAGUGUAGAGAUGAAAUUCGUAGAUAUUCGGAAGAACACCAGUGGCGAAGGCGGCUCACUGGACGACUGUUGACGCUGAGGUGCGAAAGCGUGGGGAGCAAACAGGAUUAGAUACCCGAGUAGUCCCUGUCUCUUAUAC